AUGCAUAUCACGAAGAACGUGUGCGAGAGUCUGCUUGGUACCCUGCUCAACAUGCCAGAGAGGACCAAAGAUGGGCCGAAAGCAAGGGCAGACUUGAAAUCAAUGGGCAUCAGGCAGGAGCUUCACACUAAUGAUGAUGAUGAUGAUGAUGAUGAUGAUGAUGAUGAGGUGAAGCAGGACACAGAAAGUCGUCGCAAAGGCAAAAAGGCCAAGAAGACUGGAAAUGACUACCCUCCCGCGUGCUUCACUCUAAGUCAGGAGGAGAUCAAGCAGUUUUUCACCUGCCUCCUAGGAGUAAAACUUCCUUACGGUUACGCGGGGAAGAUAAGCAGAUACCUAGACCCAGCGAAGUAG
rnacentral:rRNA from 1 species